UAAGUUAAAGUCCGCUGGAUUGGGCGUCUAGUUGUUAAUUAGAAUCUCGUGGGAUCAAGGCCCGCUGGCUUAG
rnacentral:tRNA from 1 species